UAUCUCUGUAGAGUCUGCAUAUCAAUAAGCGGAGGAAAAGAAACUAACUAGGAUUCCCUCAGUAACGGCGAGUGAAGCGGGAAGAGCUCAAAUUUGAAAUCUUCAAGGUUCUACCUUGACGAAUUGUAGUUUAAAGAAGUGUUUUCUGUUGGAGUUUUGGUAAAAGUUCUUUGGAAUAGGACAUCAUAGAGGGUGAGAAUCCCGUAUUUGACCAUUAUUUCCAGCUUUGUGAUACACUUUCAAAGAGUCGGAUUGUUUGGGAAUGCAGUCCAAAAUGGGUGGUAAAUUUCAUCUAAAGCUAAAUAUUGGCGAGAGACCGAUAGCGAACAAGUACCGUGAAGGAAAGAUGAAAAGAACUUUGAAAAGAGAGUUAAACAGUACGUGAAAUUGUCAAAAGGGAAGCGUUUGACACCAGUGUUGUUUUCUCGAAAAUCAAUUAAAAAAGGCAGGAUUUUGUGUUGUAUUGACUUUAUCAGCUUUCUGCACUCUUCUCUUGUCUUUUUUAAUGCACUUUUCGUUUAACAAGGUCAACAUCAAUUUCUUUUGUUGUAAAAGGGUCAUUGGAAGGUGGCUUUCUUUUCGGAGAAAGUGUUUAUAGCCUUUGGCCUCUGCAAUCGGAGAGAUUGAGGUCUGCAGCGUAGAUCCUUCGGGGUUAGAUACAUUUGUGCUAAGUUAUAGCCUUUCAUAGACAACUUGUUGACUAUGAUCAGUCAUGUAGCUUACUCGCUUAUGCUAUUUUACCUACGCUUAGGAUGUUGACGAUCAGCUGAGCGCG
rnacentral:rRNA from 1 species